rnacentral:rRNA from 1 species
CUAAGGGCGGUGAAGUCAGACCGGAAGGACUGGUGGAGCGCUUAGAAGUGAGAAUGCCGGUAUGAGUAGCGAAAGAAGGGUGAGAAUCCCUUCCACCGAAUGUCUAAGGUAUCCUGAGGAAGGCUCGGCCGCGCAGGGUUAGUCGGGACCUAAGCCGCGGCCGAUAGGCGUAGGCGAUGGACUACAGGUAGAGAUUCCUGUACCAGUGCUAAUUGUUUAACCGAUGGGGUGACACAGAA